rnacentral:ribozyme from 1 species
AGAUCACAAGUUUGAAGCCGCAGCAGAAGCACUCAUGGUGUAGCCUGUCAAAUUCCAAUGAAAUCUGUGAAUUCUGCU